UUAGACAAGCCGAUGAGUAAUCAUUGUUGUCUGAAAACAUUUUUUCCUUCCUCUGUGAUGCAUAAAGAAUUCAUAAGAUCAUAGAGAAAAAGUUGAGUUACAGUCCUGAGAUUUAUGUUAUUUCAUAUUUCUAAUUUGAAGAUGAGAAUCGCAGUGAAAACUUUGGACAUACUUCUGAUUCAAUAAGCCUAUAAAAGCAGAAUGUAGAAAAGAGUAACACAGAGAAGAUUCAUGAAUGGCUCCAAGGAAAGAGACACUGGUUAUCAGCAUCUUGUGCAAGGGAUUGGCAUCAGUCCCACGUUCCAGUGAGUCCUCUGCCACACGGCUGUUCGAUGAUCUUGCAAGAAACUCAGGCUGUAUUUCUAAAACAAUGGCUUUGAAUCUGCAGUCCAAAAAUCCCUGAGAGUUCACGGCCCUUUUCUGGAAAUGUGAAGUUAACAAGAUAAUUCUCAAGAAGCAUAAAGUUGAUAUGCUGCCAUCUACAGCUUCACUGGAAAAAGAUUUAAGCUCUGCUCGCUGAGAAGGAUAAAGACUGCUGCUCUUCAUUAUCUGAUCUGACCAUCUUCAGUAGUCAUAUGGAUGCCGGAGAAAGUUUAAAGUAAAUAUAAGACUCAUCUGGCUGUGACUCAGUCUAGAAAAUAAAAACGUAUUAUUGCUUAAGAAAAUAGCCAGAAAAGAUAUGCAAAACUGUAGGGUGACUUUAGAGAGAAGUGUGGGAGCAAGUCUUUAGAGUCAUAUUGUACUCACAGCUGCUAUUUGGACAGAAAAGUGCAGUUUAGCCAUCUCUGUUUUUCACUCUAUUUCAUGUAAUCCAGAAUUCCACUUUUCAGGAGCAGAUCUUACCAAUUUGUUAAAGAUCUCCUUGAGGUCUUUCACGAGGAAAUCUUAUAGCUUCUGCCAUUAAUGCCAUGAGAUCUCUGACCUAGACUACUAGGACAGCAAUUUUAUGGGGCUAAACCAUAGGCUUACCCCAGAGAUAAGGCCAGUGCAGAAUUCAGAAAAUUAUUUUUUACGUGGCACCUCUUUCAAAUCAUGCCUGGUAUAAGGGCCCUCACACUUGCACUAGCUCUUUAAGGGUUACUAUUUCAGUCACAAGCUUUGCCCUGCAGUUCCACAAAGAUGCUGAAAAAAUGGUUCUCCCCAUUUCCAUAGCUGUACAGGUAUUAUCCAAGAAUGUCUGGUAUGGUGGUGGAUUCAAGAACAAAGGAAAGAAUGGGGCAGGGUUUUGGAUGAAUUUACCUGAUAUUUAGAGACUGCUUUUUUUCUUUCAAACUGAAACAAUUAUAAUUUUAUUUUAUUUAGGACAUGUUCAGAUAAUCACAAAUUUAAGGUAGUUAUUAAUAGUUAUAAGAUUAAAUUCUGUGUUAUAAAGUUAUCUAUAAUUAUUUUUGUCUAUUUUUGGAAACCAGUGACCUGCAAAGUUUGGGCAAGAGCUGUGGAUCCUGACUACUUUAUCAGGAAAACAACAGCAUUUCAGUGUCAAGAAACUGAGAAAACACAAAUUUUGCUUUGCUUAGAACAAGGUCUAUUAAAUUAAUGCCUGCAUUUGUUUUUAACCUAGUAGACUUUCUCUUCCCUCCACUCUCUCUUCUCCAUAUAUAGAAGUAUUCAACAGUUAUUAUAUAUUUGAAAUUCUUAGCUACCAGAAAGUAGCAUUAAUAGCUGGAAGUGCCUUUACAAAGGAAAUGUUCAUUAUUUUAUAGAUUGGAUAGACUUGGACUGUAAUUACAUACUCAAGAUCAUGAAGGAGACUCUUGAAAUUGUUUAGAAAUAAAGCUCUGAGCUACUUCCAAGCUUACGGCUGUUGUUGGUUUUGCCCUUUCCUAGAUGAUGUCAGACAAAUGAGGGAGUAAUAAGGAAUAAGGCAUCUAACUUUUAGACAAAUUGAACUCUAAAUUACCUAUAGCACUGACCAAGGAGACUUCAUCCUUAAGAACAAAAAACGUGAGAAAUCUGAGCUGGCUGUAGGAAGUAGUAUAGGACUUUGUGCUUUCUACCCAAAGAAAACCAAAGGUGGGACAGUCAAGCAAAUUACCACCUCCAUGAGGAACUGUGCUCUACCUGGUAACCUUUGUGGAAAGAGAUGAGUUACCAGAGCCCAACUUACAUGCAGUCACUCACAAAGCUACAGGCAGUCACCAGUGGAUGCUUGGACAUCUGCCCAACAACCCAUUUUUAAGCCAAGAAGUUAGACAUACGCCCCAGUCAACCCCCUUCACAGGAGCUGGGUAAAAAAGAAACACCACAUAUUACUCUUAAGGAUACCUGAGAUCCAAAGCUAUGGGACAGAACUAAGAAAAGUUUUUUUCCAUUCCUUUACAUGGAAUCCAGGACUCUGUGCACAAUUUCUUAAAGAUCUGCUGGAUCUGAGGGAUGGAGAUAGUAUGGUGAAAUAAAAUAAAUGCAUAAGCAAACUGGUAAGAGAUGGGCCAACUUUUCUAGCCAUGAAUGUUUCAUACCAAACAAACUAAUAAUAUUUUAAGAAUAGCCAAGUCAAACGUUACUUCAUAUUUAACUAAAAUGUUUUUAAAAGCAGAACAAACGACAACAAAUACUGAGCAAAAUCUUUCAAGCAAAUUGAAAUCAUUUUGUCCAUCACUGUUU
ensembl:lncRNA